UACGGAGGAGGCAAGCGUUAUCCGGAAUUAUUGGGCGUAAAGCGUCCGCAGGUGGCACUUCAAGUCUGUCGUCAAAGACUGGGGCUUAACCCUGGAAAGGCGGUGGAAACUGAAGCGCUAGAGUGCGGUAGGGGUAGAGGGAAUUCCCGGUGUAGCGGUGAAAUGCGUAGAGAUCGGGAAGAACAUCGGUGGCGAAAGCGCUCUACUGGACCGCAACUGACACUGAGGGACGAAAGCUAGGGGAGCGAAUGGG
rnacentral:rRNA from 1 species